rnacentral:rRNA from 1 species
CAUGGAGGGUGAGAAUCCCGUCCGGUUGAUCAAUUGCGUAUGUGAUACGUUUUCAAAGAGUCAAGUUGUUUGGGAUUGCAGCUUAAAAUGGGAGGUAAAUUUCUCCUAAGGCUAAAUAUUGGUGAGAGACCGAUAGCGAACAAGUACCGUGAGGGAAAGAUGAAAAGCAUUUUGAAAAGAAAGUCAAAUAGCACGUGAAAUUGUUGAAAGGGAAACGAUUAAAGUCAGUCGUACCGAUGAGCAUUCAGCCUUUUGGGUGCGAUUAUGUGGUACAUGAAAAGAUUUCGUGAAUUGCAUAUUUGUGCCUUUUGGGUGUACUUGUUCGUAUGGUAGGUUAACAUCAAUUUCGGUCGUCAUAAAAUGGCGGGAGGAAUGUAGCUUCUCCGGAAGUGUUAUAGCCUCUGGUAGAUGUGACAACUGAGAUUGAGGAUUGCAACGAAUACCCUCUGGGCUACUUGUCUGGCCUCUGGUCGUCGCUUUGGUGCCGAAAGCGUGCUUAUGGUAUUAAAGUAGGUGGUCAAAAGGUUAGAACGGGUUAAAUUCGUUAAGGAUGUUGACGUAAUGG